UACGGGGGGGGCAAGCGUUGUUCGGAAUUACUGGGCGUAAAGGGCUCGUAGGCGGCCAACUAAGUCCGACGUGAAAUCCCCAGGCUUAACCUGGGAACUGCGUCGGAUACUGGAUGGCUUGAAUCCGGGAGAGGGAUGCGGAAUUCCAGGUGUAGCGGUGAAAUGCGUAGAUAUCAUCAGGAACUCCGGUGGCGAAGGCGGCACGCUGGAUCUCAUCUGACGCUGAUGCGCGAAAGCCAGGGGAGCAAACGGG
rnacentral:rRNA from 1 species